rnacentral:rRNA from 1 species
GAUGAACGCUGGCGGCGUGCCUAACACAUGCAAGUCGAGCGAUUCUCCUCGGAGAAGAGCGGCGGACGGGUGAUUAACGCGUGGGUAACCUGCCCUGUACACACGGAUAACAUAACGAAAGGUAUGCUAAUACGAGAUAAUAUGCUUUUAUCGCAUGGUAGAAGUAUCAAAGCUCCGCCGGUACAGGAUGGACCCGCGUCUGACUAGCUGGUUGGUAAGGUAACGGCUUACCAAGGCGACGAUCAGUAGCCGACCUGAGAGGGUGAUCGGCCACAUUGGAACGGAGCCACGGUCAAAACUCCUGCGGGAGGCAGCAGUGGGGAAUAUUGCACAAUGGGCGAAAGGUUGAUGCAGCAACGCCGCGUGAGCGAUGAAGGCCUGCGGGUCGUAAAGCUCUGUCCUCAAGGAAGAUAAUGACGGUACUUGAGGAGGAAGCCCCGGCUAACUACGUGCCAGCCGCCGCAGUAAGAC